AUACGUAGGUGACAAGCGUUAUCCGGAUUUACUGGGCGUAAAGGGCGUGUAGGCGGUCUUGCAAGUCAGAAGUGAAAUUCCUGAGCUCAACUCGGGCGCUGCUUCUGAAACUGCAGGACUUGAGUGCUGGAGGGGAUAGCGGAAUUCCUAGUGGAGCGGUAAAAUGCGCAGAUAUUAGGAAGAACACCGGUGGCGAAGGCAGGCAUCUGGCCGGAGACUGACGCUGAGGCGCGAAGGCGCGGGGAGCGAACAGGUUUAGAUACCCUGGUAGUCCGCGCAGUAAACGAUGCGCACCAGGUGUCGGGCGGCAGCGCCCGGUACCGGAGCUAACGCGAUGAGUGCGCCGCCUGGGGAGUAUGCCCGCAAGGGUGAAACUCAAAUGAAUUGACGGGG
rnacentral:rRNA from 1 species